rnacentral:rRNA from 1 species
ACGACCAAAGCUCGAAGAGAAUACGGGAUCCCGUCCGCUCUCCCUUAGUCAAGUUUCGAAGCGCCGGAUUAGUAGUUGGGUCGGUGACGACCAGCGAAUCCCCGGUGUUGUAUGUU